rnacentral:rRNA from 1 species
CGGCGGACGGGUGAGUAACGCGUGGGUAACCUACCCCAAAGUCCGGGAUAACAGCGGGAAACCGCUGCUAAUACCGGAUGUCUUUACCUUGGGGCAUCUUGAGGUAAAGAAAGGUAACGCUUUGGGAUGGGCCCGCGUCCCAUUAGCUAGUUGGUGAGGUAACGGCUCACCAAGGCGACGAUGGGUAGCCGGCCUGAGAGGGUGGACGGCCACACUGGGACUGAGACACGGCCCAGACUCCUACGGGAGGCAGCAGUAGGGAAUAUUGCGCAAUGGACGGAAGUCUGACGCAGCGACGCCGCGUGAGCGAUGAAGGUCUUCGGAUCGUAAAGCUCUGUCCUUGGGGAAGAAGGUCUUCGGACUUGACGGUACCCAAGAAGAAAGCCCCGGCUAACUACGUGCCAGCAGCCGCGGUAAUACGUAGGGGGCGAGCGUUGUCCGGAAUUACUGGGCGUAAA